AGUGACGAUAGCCUAGGAGAUACACCUGUACCCAUGCCGAACACAGUAGUUAAGCCCUAGAACGCCUGAAGUAGUUGGGGGUUGCCCCCUGUUAGAUAUGGUAGUUGCUUAGCUUAGAUCCACUUGGGGGAGUUUAGCUCAGCUGGGAGAGCA
rnacentral:rRNA from 1 species